ensembl:lncRNA
AUGAAGAGAAUGAAAAGAGAAAGAAGAGCCCCUGAAAUUGCUUUCUGGUUGUUUUACUCCUUAAAAGAAGAGCCAAAGGAAACCCUAACCUGUAUUCUCGACUUGAUGGGAGAGCCAGGCUCCAUCUUUGGCUGUUUUAUGGUCCUGGCACAAUCCCUUGCAGUGUCGCCUGCUCUCUGGGAUUUUGGCUGAGUCCUUUCCACUAGCUAAACCCGACUCAAUUUCCUUUCCUUCUGUCCUUAAACUCCUGGUUGUAUAUUUUGUGCUUUCUAGUGCAUCAUUUUAGUUACUUCCCAAUAAGAGUUCCCUAUUCUAUCUGCUACCUUGUGUUCCUCACAUUAAAAUAUGAAAAAAAAAAAAAGUGAAUGUGUGAAAGUGUUAGUCGGUCUGACUCUUUGUGACCCCAUGGACUGUAGCUGGCCAGGUCCUCUGCCCAUGGGAUUUUCCAGGCAACCCAUUGAAGUGGGUUACCAUUUCCUCUUUCAGGGGAUCUUCCUGACCCAGGGAUCAAACACGCAUUUCCUGUGUUGACAGGUGGAUUCUUUAUUAUUGAAUCACCUGGGAAAUCCCACAUUACCUCUGUAACUAGCUAUUUUGUUCAUAUGGAUCAGUCAGGGUAAAUUUUGUGUCUUAAUCAGGACACUGACUAUGGUAUAAAUCUUCUGUAGUAAGUAACCAGUGCAGAAUACUGUGGGUUUUAUAUAUAUGCAAACAUCCAUAGGGGACUGUAAUUUAAUACAAAGUAUGUUGAGAAGCAUUUGCUUGAUGUGCUAUAUUUCUUGAGCUGUAUGAAAAGUAAUGAGACAUGUGAUCUGCCUUUAAGGGUAGCAUCUAGUAUUGAGUUUUGGUUGAUUAUUGCAGAAGUUUUUUGAUUUGGUAAAUGAUUUUGAAGUUCAAAAUUAAAGAGUAGAAUGUUUUGGUUACCAAGUGUGCAAUAAAAUUGUUGUUGUUCAGUCCCUUAGUCUUGUCCAAUUCUUUGCAACCCCAUGGACUGUAGCACUCCAGGCCUCCCUAUCCUUUACCAUCUCCUGGAGUUUGCUCAAAUUCAUGUCCAUUGAGUAGGUGAUGCCAUCNNNNNNNNNNNNNNNNNNNNNNNNNNNNNNNNNNNNNNNNNNNNNNNCACCAGGGUCUUUUCCAAUGAGUUGGCUCUUCACAUCAGGUGGCCAAAAUGUUGGAGCUUCAGUAUUGGAACUUUCACAUAAAUAACUUUAGAAAAGGAAUUCAGUAAAGUAUAAAUUAUGUAAAUGAUAUGUAUCUGUGGAAAGCUGUAUUAAAAGAUCUAUAUAAAAUUAACUUUCUUCUUUUUAGUUUUGCUAUGAAAAUUUGAAUGUUUUCUAAUACAGAUUUUUACUCAACUUUUAAAUUAUUAAUUUUUGUGAGUAAAUUUGUUGUACUGACUGACCUUUGCUUAUGGUUUACUACAGAAAGGAAAGACGGGAAAUUAGUAUAAUUGUUUUUUGGCCUACUUUGUUUUUAUAUAACGAUAAUUCUUUAAGAGUAGAGAUAGGCAACCUUGAAAGAUACAGUUGGGCAUAAAAGCUGGGUAUGGGAAAAAAACUUCCAAUAUAAAAUACAUAUACAGAUAAUUUUGUGGGUUGAUCACUGUUUAGACAAUUCCACAAAUUUCACAGAAGUGUAACUUCUUAAAAAAAUCAAUAUAGCCUAGAUUUAUGGAGCUCAGCUCAAGGAUUUCUCUUUUAUCCUCUCACCUUAUCACCCUGCAAAUGAUAAAACUUUGAAACUUUAUAGCUGGAAAAGACUUUAACUUCUUUAGGUCUUUGCCUUACAGAUUAAAAAAAAUGAAGAAAAAAAGAAGGCCUGAGAUGAUGAAGCAACCUGUCCAAGAUGACAGUAAUAAGCUAGUACAUAUGUUUGCUCCCUGGGCCGAGAAGAUCCUUAUAGAAGGAAAUGGUAACUCGCUCUAGUAUUCUUGUCUGGGGAAUUCCAUGGACAGAAGAGCCUGGUGGGCUACACUUGCAAAGUGUUUGGCACAAUUGAGUGCAUGCAUGUGUGCAUGCACACACACACACACACACACACAGUUAUACAUUGAAAGUAGCAAAUUGCAAGAAUUUCAGCAUUCACAGCCUUAACGGGUGUAAUGCCCUUGCAGGAAGAAUAAGGGCCCCUGCUGAGGCUGUGGAACGGCGAAGGAGAAAAGGAACAUUUCAGAAUCUCCAGGGCAUUUAGCAAGUCCUUUGGAGAAUUCUCAGAUUUUAUUCCAACGUGUGCCUUUAGAAAAGCAUGCCCUUGUGGUUGAGAACAUAUGAGGUUACCUCUAAAUUAAGAAAGCUUCUACAUAAAUCCUACCUAAGGGAUAAACAGUUGGAAUGAAUUUCAAAUUAUGUCAUUUUAAAUUAAUUUCUGCCUAAGAAUCUAUAAAGGCUUA